rnacentral:misc_RNA from 1 species
AAAGUCGUAACAAGGUUUCCGUAGGUGAACCUGCGGAAGGAUCAUUAUUGAUUUGAAUAGGAUGUGCUGGCGCAUAUUUAUCUUCAUGAUAGAAAAAAAAAGCGCAUGUGUCACUCCGUAACAUUCAUAUAUCCCAUUGUGCACUACCAUGUGGAUAAAUAAUAGCUAGGAGAAAUCUAAAGCAAAUUUGUCUGCAUUUUUAUUCAUGCCUUGUGUAAAAUUGAGAUGACUAUUAUAAUAAUUGAAACAACUUUCAACAACGGAUCUCUUGGCUCUC